ACAAACCCUCGCGUCAAUUUCGGCAGCCCCAAAAUCCCUAAUUCCCCUCAUUCCGUGUUUUCAAAUUCAUUCCAGCUUGGUUCAAUUUCGGCAACCCCAAAUUAUGAACAGACCCUAGGAACCACGACUUUUACUCGUCGAGAUCGUGAUCUAGGCCUUUGUUUGUUUUGCUGAUUUCGUCGACUCACCAAAACCACUAUACUUAUCAAAUUCGUCAUCGGAACUGUCGUUACUGUUUAUGUUGAAGCAGUAAUCCUACUGCGCUUCACCGGCGCCGGUUGGUUUCUCCACCGACGAUAUCCGCAGAACAAUAAGGUUUGUGUGUGUUGCGUACAUAUAUCUAUAGUAAUAUAUUCUGUCAGUUAUCUUGAAUUAUUCAUACCUUAUUGUGUCUAUAAUACUAUGUUAGCGACUGAAGUGACCAUUUAGAAGGACAGAUGUCAGUCCCAAAUUAUGACCCCAACAAAAUCUUUCCGUCUUGGUUCAAAAAGUAUCGACUUGAAAAGUUGUUGUUCGGAUUAAGUACCUAUUUUUAAGUAAGUUUUCCUUUUGAAAUUGACUGCGUAAUAGAUAUCGUGAUAUAGGGCUUUGUUUACUGAUUUUUUGGUUUCUUAGGUUUGGUUUUGUUUUGGUCUAAGUUCAUCUUCUUCGGAUCUCAGAUUGUGUGAAAAUUUUAAUUUCUUUUCUGGGUUAUGUAAUUUCUACUUUCAUUGUAUUCAGCGAAGUUAACGAUUCCGGUCUGGUCAGUUGGGUCCAAAUACAAACAUUCCCAACAGCCUAGACAAACAGAGGAAUAGUUAAAUUUUCUUUAAUAAAUAAAAAACAGAUAAUUUUGGACAUUGAAGCAGCUGUAAAGCUGAAGAUAUGGAAGGAAACUACAAGGUUGAUUCUUGUAUCUUGAAAUAGUUUAUGAUAGCUUAAAACAGAGACAAGUGAAAACAAAUAGACAUUCUUUACUGUUUGUUUACUCUAAUAAUAAAGAUUAUCAAUUAGCUAAGUAAGCAUACAAUCCUGUGAUCAACAAGUGAGACUCAAGAAAUUAAAUGAGUCAUUGUGAUAGGAAAUUGCUUAAAGGAGUAUAUUGCCUGGGUAAUAUGUUGACACUUGCUUUGUGUUGUUGGUUGGUUUGUUUUUCUGUUUUGAGUGGAUAUAUGCAGACAAACAAUAUAUAUCAGCACAUAUGUCAAUUUUAAGAUCCCCAACAAUUUAUAAAGUGUAUGCUUAUAAUAUACAAUUAUUAGAGGAGUUGUUAUAUAUUUUUUUCUUUUAAUAUUUUGAAUAAGAUUGAAACUACCAGGAUGGUCUCCGCCCCAUUACUACUAAUUAACUAAUUGAUCAAGUCAAAUCCAUGAACUUGAUAUAGUUGUCACCAUUGUUUAUUAAUUGCAGGUUGUAUUUUUUUUUAAAAAUAAAAUAAAUAAUGGUCUAUCAAGCUAAACUUGAUAUUUUAAUAGGUUGGAUAUAUGAUAACAAGUAGCUGUAGCCUGUAGGAGGGAAUCCGAAACCUAUGACAUUUAAAUCUGGCAGCAUGAUGUUAGUAUGAAUAUCCGAAUAAUAGCCAACCUUAGAAACACCUUUUCCAAUGUAGUCUGAUCCUCCAUCUCUUAUUUCCAGAGUUUCAUAAAUUCCUGAAAGAAGAGACAUGUACAAAAGAACAGAGAAACACCCUGUCACAAUAAUUACAAUUACAAUUAAAAUUAUAUUCUUGUCCUAAUCAAGUAGUUGUUCUCAUGGGUUGGUAUUACAUAUAUUAUAUAAUGUAUUGUUUGUAUAAACUUUCAAGCCAAAAUUUAUUUUUGGAUGAAUGUGUGGCCAUUUCUUGUAUAUACUAAAUCACAGUACAUGACACAAUAAUUUGACAUCUGUCCUUCUAUAAAUUUAACACAUGUCCUUAUUUAAUGCUCCUUAUUACCUUUACAAAAAAACUCAUGACCCCGCGUCUAAAAAACAACUGAGGUUGUAAAAAACCUAAAUACAAACCCCUAAUUCCCCUUGGUUCAAAUUAAUUCCGUGUCUUGGUUCAAAUUCGUCAGCCCCAAAUUAUGAAUAGACCCUAAGAACCACGGUGAGCAAAAAGUAUCGAUUUGUGACGAAACAACAAACCUCUAGAGAUUUUAUUAGUUGAAGAGUUGUUCGGAUUGAGUACCGAUUUUCAAGUAAGUUUUUCUUUUGAAAUUGAGUGCAUGGUCGAGAUCGUGAUAUAGGGCUUUGUUUGCUGAUUUUAUGGUUUCUUCGGUUUUGUUUUGUUUAGGUCUACGUUCAUCUUCUUCGGAUCUCAGACUAUGUGAAUUUUUUUAUAUCUUUUCUUGGUUGUCUUAGAAAUCAGUCUGGAUAGUUAUGAAAAAAUUGUGGAUAACUGUGUCUAAUUGAGGACAAUGCUCGGGUUGAUUUUCGAUCCCCAAAAUGGAAGAAAUUUCUGUUUGAAAUUUCACUCUGAUUGCCCCCAAAUGGGAUGAAAAUGGGAUUCCUUUUGUUUCAGCAAUCCGUUCAGCUCUUACAGCUCUUACCAUCUGUAUUAUGUUGUAGCAUUUUGGCCACUUUGGUAUAUUUGAAAGUAUCAUUCUCACAACGUGAGUUGGGCAGAGACAAAUUAGAUAAAGGUUGGAUUGAUCAACAUUGCUUAUAACCUUUUCCCUUCUCCUAAUAUUUAGUUUAUAUUCUAUUUGUUACUUGCAUAUUUUAAUAUUUAUGACUAUCAUUUAUGUUGCAUUGAUGUGUUUAACAGUUUGAGGAGAAUCAGUGGGAUUUCGUUUAUAACUUCAAUUGUCAUUGAUGUGAAAGUGGUAGUAUCUUUAUAUAUAUAUAUAUAUCAUAUUAUAAGCUAUGGCUCCUGAAACUAUGAACGUUUUGCUUUCAGAUAAAGGCCAUGAAGGAUAUGUAUUUACUAGAAUUAACUGAAAUGUACCAGAAAAUUGCUGCUAAAUUGCAUCAGGUAAUUUAAUGUCCACCUUUGAUUUUUAUCAUGUCAUGUCAAUUAAAUUUUUUUUUACUAUCACAGGAACAGUGGGGUUUUAUUCGCAGUGGGUAAGAUCUGGGAUACUCAUAUUACUUCCCAUGCCAUUAACAAUUUUAUAUUUGUGCUAACAUACUUUGCUCAAUCAGUCCAGUUGUGUACAAGCAAGAGUUCGCUUUAUGUGAGAUAGUGAAAUAGAGACUGCGUAACACAUGAUUACCAGGCAUUUUUGAAGUGUCUUCAUAUUUAUAGCACUGAAAUAAUUACAAGAAAGGAAUUACAAGGUUUGUUAUGUAUCAAGCUGAUCAUGCUAAGUGUUGCUUAUUUUUUUGCUGCUUAUUUAGAUGCUUAUUGUAGAAGUCAUUACAAUUUUGACUGUUUUGAGUGGCUCUUUCCAAUCACUAUGUAAAGUCUUUGUUCAGAACUUGGUUACUUAUUUAGAUCCUAAACCAACGAUUUGAAUACACGGAAGUAGAGGAGGAAAAAGGAUUCUUUUUAUGCAAGAGGAACCUAACUAUGAUUAUAGAGAAAUGAUUCCUAUAUUAAUUUGGACUUGGAGUUUGAGGCAAAUUCUAUUCAAUUCUAUACUAUUUUGUCUCAAGUAAACCCUUCAUAAUUCUACUUUGACCACAACUUGACUUCUCUUCAUUUGUAUCUCGGGGGAUCGGGGCUAAAGGAUAAUUUAUGGAUUAAGCAUUAAACAACAGAUGUAGCUGUUAUUAUCGUAUUGUUUUGCUCUAUUCUAGGAUUUGUCUACUUCCAAAUUCCAAUAUUUUAUUGUCUUAUAUCUCUGUCUUAUGUUAAUUGCUAUGUUUCUCAACACUUUUUUCUCAUUAGUUGGUUCAACAUUGUUCAAGCAGUUCUCUUUUUUAGUAGUGUAGCUUACGCUUAAUGCCAAUGCACCAUGUAUUAAAUUGCUGACGCAAAGUCCUUCUUAUGACGUUUAAAUAUUGGCAUGUCUUGGAUCUAUGAGAAAGUGAAGGAGUUACAGUCUCUAUCAAAAUUUGACUGCAACAAGAACUUGAAGCAAGAAUUGACAGACAUAUCCAGGUGAUUUUGUGCUUUCUAUUUUACUUUGUGUUGAAAUAUUUAUUAUGGUAUGUGUUCUACUGAGGUUGGAUUCAGAAGACGUAGUCAUGACCAAGGAUGUUAUUGUAAUUAACGUAGUCAUGACCAUAUUUUCUGGACGGAGUUGUUAUAAUAUUGAAUGUGAUGAAGAAAUUUGUGAUAUAGGUCAUUAUUCCAGGAGCGUACAUUAGUUUUGUCUUAUUGGGAGGAAACAAAAACAAACAAUUAACAUUACCAUUAAACAAGUGAGAGUCUCACUAACUUUUGCUUUAAAAUGACCUUGUGAGGUCAGUGUUUUUUCUAUUUCUAUUCAUUAUGAUUUAUAGUUUGUCAAUAUACAAGUCAUUAGUCAUUAUUAUAACUCUAAACUUUUGUUGAGUGCAAGGGAAAACGAGUGUAUUGAUGUCUGAGUAUUUCAACAAGAAACCUGUUGUUUUUUUUGUUUUUUUNNNNNNNNNNNNNNNNNNNNNNNNNNNNNNNNNNNNNNNNNNNNNNNNNNNNNNNNNNNNNNNNNNNNNNNNNNNNNNNNNNNNNNNNNNNNNNNNNNNNUAUUCCUAUAUCUAAAUAAAUUUGCCUCAAGCUAUGAAACUGACAUUAUUCUUUAGACAUCUUGCGAUCCCUAUUUCAUCAAAAAAAUUAUGGAUACCUUUAUUUCAGGAAAUUAUUAAAGGAGCUGGCCACAGUAGUGCUAUAGAUUGGUGGGCUCCUGGUAAGCACAUAAAGAAACAUGGUAUGAUUUUCUAAACAUGCCACAUGUUUGUUGUCAUCAUUUUAAUAUCUAUUUAUGUUGUUUUUUUUAUAUGAUUUUCAUUUGGGCUUUUCCAUGUUAGUAGGUGUAGAUUUUUCCUGAAGCAAUGUUUUGCAAGAAAAUUCCAACCCUUGAAAUUGGAAUUGAGUGCCAAAUUGUAACUAAAUUUUAAUUCUAGAGAAUUGCAAAUGUGCUUUCAAUUUUAAUUCAAAGCUUGAAUUGAGUUGCCAUACAUAACAGGAGUGUAUUUGUAUGUUUCCAAUAUCUACCUAAUAAGACAAUAUUGUAUGUGUCCCAAUAAAUUAAGUUAUUUUCUAUCAUCAUAAUGCAGUUAUGUGUACCAAGGAUUGCUUACAUAGUGUUUAAAUUUGCAAGCUUCUAUGUUACUUCUUAUUCUUAAUAAUUCAUAUCAUCACCAAAUUAAGAAAAUAGUACGCGGUUAUUAUAGUUUUGAUUCUAACAAUUAUCUAUGCGAGGCCUUGAUGCCAUUGGUGAGGCCAUUCUUCAAAAACUUAAAUUUGGAGCAAUCAGUUGCAUAACAUAAUAUCAGAGCUUUGAUUUUUGCACUUUUUUGAGUUCAAGUCUCUGUCACUAUCUGCAUUUGGUUCCCACUUCUGUUUGUGCACAUUAGUUUUUUUAUUUUUAUCUACUUUGGAUAAAGUUGGUCUUAUCUGCUUGCUUAGUGAGUACGGUCACAUGUGAAUGAGUUUUAAAAUGCAAUGUUUGGUGCAUUCACUACAUCUCCCCCUGCCCAAUCACCCCCUUUCUGAUACAUAACUAUUAUAUAUAAGGUUAUGGCUUUGAAGAAAUUCAUUUCACAUACUUACAUUAGGUCAUUUAUUAGAUAGUUUUUUGACAUUUUGAAUAGUUAUGUGAUUGAUGUUUACUGCAUUAUUUACAAGUGAAUGGUUAGAGGUAUAUAUUUUCAAGCUAUUGUGCCAUGUACUGCGUUUCAUACACACAUUACUUAAAAUUACCUUACAAAAUGGCACUGCUAAUUUGAACACCGACUUUGUUUUCAGGUCAUUGCAAUUGAAGGUUUCUCUUGAAUGAAGGUUCUAAGCUUGUAGUUUACCUAGAUAUUUUGCUAUAUGCUUGGACUGAAUGGUUUGAGCAUUGGCUUUCUAAUUGUAUUUUUAAGAGAUUUUUUAAACCUUCGCAUGCCCUUUUAUUCUCUUUUUGUUAUGGGUUGUAAAAAGUUAAGUUGAGGCAACCCUUUCUUUACAGUAAACAAAUUACAAAUGUAGUAAAGGACGGGGAAAAUAAAUCAGUUGGUUACACUUUGGUCAAGAAAAACUGAAAAAAAAGAAAAGAAAAAGAGUAGAAAAAAUGAUUUGUCCACAAGUUGAGGUCACUUACUUUGCCACUAGCCUAAAAGCAAUAGUCACAUACUUAGAGUGUAAUGUACAGACAUGUAAACUCUCAUCACUACCCCCUACAAUGUAUAUUUAUUUGUUUAAAAUUUGAUUAUCGCACAAUAAUUUACUCUUUUUAUCAUAUUUUAAUUUAUUAAUUAUACAUACAAAUUUAUUAUUCAAAAAUUGAAUAAUUUCGUUGCAACGCACAGGUUUGUAUCUAGUUAAUACUAUUAAUACAAACCCGCGGGCCUUCAAAAAGUAUUCCAUUCCCAUUUCCUCUCUGUAUCCAACACACACACACACACACACACAC
rnacentral:lncRNA from 1 species